AAUAUUGGACAAUGGGGGCAAGCCUGAUCCAGCCAUGCCGCGUGUGUGAAGAAGGUCUUCGGACUGUAAAGCACUCUACGUUGGGAGGAAGGGCUUGAGGUUAAUAUCUGGAAGUUUUGACGUUACCAACAGAACAAGCACCGGCAACCUCUUUGCCAGCAGCCGCGGUAAUACAGAGGGUGCAAGCGUUAAUCGGAAUUACUGGGCGUAAAGCGCGCGUGGGUGGUUCAGUAAGAUGGGUGUGAAAUCCCCGGGCUUAACCUAGGAACUGCUUUCAUAACUGCUGAGCUAGAGUACGGUAGAGGGUAGUGGAAUUUCCUGUGUAGCGGUGAAAUGCGUAGAUAUAGGAAGGAACACCAGUGGCAAAGGCGACUACCAGGACUGAUACUAACACUGAGGUGCGAAAGCGUGGGAAGCAAAC
rnacentral:rRNA from 1 species